UACGUAGGGUGCGAGCGUUGUCCGGAAUCAUUGGGCGUAAAGCGCGUGUAGGCGGCUCGAUAAGUCCGGUGUGAAACCUUGGGGCUCAACCCCAAGCCUGCACUGGAUACUGCCGAGCUAGAGUCCGGGAGGGGAGAGCGGAAUUCCUAGUGUAGCGGUGAAAUGCGCAGAUAUUAGGAAGAACACCGGUGGCGAAGGCGGCUCUCUGGAACGGUACUGACGCUGAGACGCGAAAGCGUGGGGAGCGAACAGG
rnacentral:rRNA from 1 species